CUUCUCCAUCGCCCGGACGGCGGCGCCUGCUCGUAUAGCACCAUGCACCCAUGUUGCAUCCACACUUGGGGUCUUGGGGAUCGGAGCAGUAAUGGUGGCAGAAGUAGACCGGGAGGCUGGCCAGGUACAUUUGGCUUAUGAGUAUGCAGGCAUGCUUUAACGCUGUUGCCAUACUGAAAUCUAGUUUCCCAGUACCACUAUUCAAGUAAACCAUGACUCUUGACCUUUGGUUAGUUUUGAUGAGAAUCCAGAGCGACACCAUCAUCAUGCUCUUAACACUAACCAAAAUGGUACCUGAAAACAUUAACUUGGAUUAGAAUAUAGUACUAGUAGUAAUGUGGUGGGAUUAAACUUAUUGCAGCCCCUUAAAUUUCUUUUAAGCCAAUCUAGCAGUAGCUGAUGGCUGUGUUAGAUAUUGCCAGACAAAAUAAGAACUGAACUUCCACCAAUUCUUUGCUUGGUAUUGUAUUAAUGCAGUUCUAGCUAGUAUUCAUGCCUGACAGGCCCUAGAUAUUAGCAUAAAGAUUUCUAGUGACUAAGAAAUAAUUCUAAUCAAAAUUUUAUGGAAGUAUUUCGAUGCUGCAGUUUUUUUUCCUCAGAUGUCUUGGGAGUUAAAAUUUUGCAAUAUUCUUUAGCUUUGUCUUGCACAGAGUGAAACUAUUAGGUCUAACUCUCCAGGGAAUGGAAUACCUAAUAGGUCUAACUCUCGCCCCUGAUCUUGUUUGCAUCGAACUAUGCUGUUGAAUUAUAUGGGAGCCAGGUAAAACAGUAAAUGCAAUGCAGAACUACUUGAUCCAGAAACACAAAAAAAAAAACAAUUAUAAUUUAUAACUUUUAUUGGACUUGAUUGGGGUUUUUGGCCUUGAUGGUGCUGGGUACUGCUCAUACAGAUAGCUAGCAUCGUGUUAUCUUGUUUAUUCAGUUGGUUCGUUUUAAAUUGGCAUUCUUUUGUAUAAGUUUUGCUACCUGUAACACAAGCUCAACAAACUGAACUAAGAGAAACCUUCGACCGCAGCCUAUAUACAUGGUCUAGAAAACAAAAUGCUUAAUUUCAAGGUGUCUUAUCUCUAGAUUACUUGUUUUUGAGCUCCUCUGCAUCUCCUAAUGACUCACUCGGUUGGCCUGAAGCAGAUGAGAACUAAGUGACAAGUCUACAUACAACGGACCUGUGCUGAAUGGAGAGGCUACGACUUAACUGCAGAUUUAGCAAAAUAGCAUUGCUUGCAGUAGAGGAGGACCUGCCAGAGCCUGAAUUGGGGACCAACUUGUGGGCAUAAUGCCGCACCAGCACCAAGGGUUAACCUGGGGCUCAGGAUUGCAAGGAGCUGAUGCAGCUUUUUUAGGAUAGCAACAGCAUCGCCCAUUUGAGGAACUGUAACUUCAUGUGAUAGUUACAAAAAUUACCAUCGCAUUUGUUCGAGCUACAUGUGUCACAGUUUUUUAUGUUUUAAUGUUACCAUUGUUACUUCCACG